UUGAUUGAUUUGUAUUCAAUACUCGACGCAAAGAUGCAGAGUUGAUUGGUCCUCUGGGGGACUCCCGGCCGCGGACGUCCGGGUCGCCCCCCGAGGCAACAGAUAUUAAUCGACAAAGGGUUGGAGGUCGGGCGCGAGGGCCCUCACUCGGUAAUGAUCCCUCCGCAGGUUCACCUACGGAGA
rnacentral:misc_RNA from 1 species